UUAAUGAUUUAUUGGGUGGGAUGGCGAAACGAACCCAGGAACUAAACUAUUCUUUUAUUCGUAGAGGUCAUGAACUAACCCUACAACUGAAAUAGAUAUUGAAAGAGUAAAUAUUCGCCCGCGAAAGGUUUAUUUUUUUGAUUUUAUUGGAUUGAUUCAUUUUGCUCGAUCCGAUAUGGUAAAGGGCAAAACAAAAUAAAGAUUUGUUAUAACGAUAAAAAAAAAAAAAAGACAUUGAGAUUAUCUAUAAAUAGAACAUA
rnacentral:lncRNA from 1 species